UGGGGAAUAUUGCACAAUGGGCGCAAGCCUGAUGCAGCCAUGCCGCGUGUAUGAAGAAGGCCUUCGGGUUGUAAAGUACUUUCAGCGGGGAGGAAGGGAGUAAAGUUAAUACCUUUACUCAUUGACGUUACCCGCAGAAGAAGCACCGGCUAACUCCGUGCCAGCAGCCGCGGUAAUACGGAGGUUGCAAGCGUUAAUCGGAAUUACUGGGCGUAAAGCGCACGCAGGCGGUUUGUUAAGUCAGAUGUGAAAUCCCCGGGCUCAACCUGGGAACUGCAUCUGAUACUGGCAAGCUUGAGUCUCGUAGAGGGGGGUAGAAUUCCAGGUGUAGCGGUGAAAUGCGUAGAGAUCUGGAGGAAUACCGGUGGCGAAGGCGGCCCCCUGGACGAAGACUGACGCUCAGGUGCGAAAGCGUGGGGAACAAACAGG
rnacentral:rRNA from 1 species